UGUAUUCAUCUCUCAACUAUUCGCAUUAUAUAUAAUCAUAUAAAUUAACACAAAUAUUUCAAGAAAAACAUUUUUAAAUACGAGCAGUUGUAUAUAUAAAAAAAAAAAAAAAAAAAAAAACUACCGUAAUAAUAGUCACUUCAUCAUAUAAAUAAUUUUACUUUAAAUUUUAAACAUUUCAAAGUCGAAGAUUUAUAAUAUAUGAUUAAAUAUCUCAUUUUACUUUGAAUUAAACAUAUUGUAUAUAAAAAAAAUGGUUGAAAGAGAAAACACAGUUAGUGCAUAUAUCAAGAGGAUGUAUAUUAACACGUUUCAUUAUGUUAAAAAUUAUAUGACAGCAUCCGACCAAGAAAUGCAAAACAAUGCCGACCCAAUAAUGGAUAUAAUUGCUACGGCACCAAGUGAUUCACUAUAUUUUAUUGAACGGAUAAAUCUUAUUUCAGUGAUAAUAAGUAUUGGUACAUCUUUUCCUUACCUAACGUACUUAAUUAUUUAUUGGAACGAUUGUUCGUGUAAUGAUUUAUUACGGUGGUGGAUUGUAAUUAACAGUAUAUUACAACUUAUACAGGCACCUAUACGAUUUUUCUUAUAUUUCAUAUUAAGAAAAUAUAAACUAGAAAACGAAAGGAUGCACAUUCAAGCGUAAGAAAAUAUGCAUAUAUAUAUGUAUAUGUACGUGUACAUGCUUAUAUGUCAAAAUAAGUAGACUCAUAUAUUUCCUAAGUAACAAUUUUUCUAUACUACUUUUCCAUUUUCGCAGUGAGCGAACCAAUCAAAUGUGAAUAGAUAUUUACAUA
rnacentral:lncRNA from 1 species